rnacentral:rRNA from 1 species
CACGUAGGGCGCAAGCGUUGUCCGGAAUUAUUGGGCGUAAAGAGCUCGUAGGCGGACUGUCACGUCUGCUGUGAAAAGCUAGGGCUUAACCCUGGCCUUGCAGUGGAUACGGGCAGACUAGAGGUAGGUAGGGGAGAAUGGAAUUCCCGGUGUAGCGGUGAAAUGCGCAGAUAUCGGGAGGAACACCGGUGGCGAAGGCGGUUCUCUGGGCCUCACCUGACGCUGAGGAGCGAAAGCGUGGGGAGCGAACAGG